rnacentral:lncRNA from 1 species
AAUUGAAACCUUUGUACCGCUCUACAAUUUAGCUUACACCACAUCAGAUGGACUUUCAAAUACAAACGAAAUUAAGUAAACUGUCAAGUUACUUCCAAGUAAAAAACUGAAACUAGAGCCUCAACUUCCCGAGUUUGCAGCCAAUAUGAAAUUAGUAAAUCCAAGAGAGCUCCAUCCAAUCAUCUAGGCUGGAACAAAGGUGAUACU